CCAAGACCACUGAAACGUAAAAGCAUAUCUUCUCAAAUCUUUUCCUUGUCAAUUUACUUUUCAGAACAGUGCUAUUUCCAACCAUUUCAAGCGUCGCCCCAUAUUACCGAAAGCUGAGGUCUUCCCAUUUCCUUUUACUCUGAAGAACCUAGAUGAUUUGGCUCCGAUUCUCCUCUAGAUGAUCUUAAGGUCUCUCCCUCCAGAUUAACCAAAGCCUGCAACAGAAACCCCUGCACUGUUCGUUUGUCCCUUGGCUGAAAACCCAGGGCACAGAUGGAAAACAUUGAGACUAUCUUUUCCUUCCUGACCACAUCUCGAGCAUCGAUCCUCAGCCAUCACUUUUCGCAGCUUCAGAUUAGAGAAAGUGGGAAUGUAAUUCCACGCUAUUUUCCAUACUGUAAUCUUGAUUUUUGAGGGCAUAUGUAAAUUCCAUAGUUUUCUAUAGAAAUUUUUAGUAUCGGUCUGUAAAUAAACACUAGGAUCAAUUGUAGCUUUCUGUAAUAGUUUAUAGGCACUCCUUACUGAAAAGUCACCAGUUGCUUCCCCUCUCCAUACUUGGAUGUCUUCAUGGAUUGACUUUGAAAGCGGAAUCUGUAGUAUUUUCCUAGCGAUAUCCGAGUUAAAGGUACGGACAAUCAAGUCUCUUUUCCAUGUUCUGCUUUCCUCAUUGAUUAAGUCGGACACUACUCUAAUAUUUUCAAUGUU